rnacentral:rRNA from 1 species
UACUCCUACGGGAGGCAGCAGUGGGGAAUUUUGGACAAUGGGCGAAAGCCUGAUCCAGCAAUGCCGCGUGUGUGAAGAAGGCCUUCGGGUUGUAAAGCACUUUUGUCCGGAAAGAAAUCCUUGGCUCUAAUACAGUCGGGGGAUGACGGUACCGGAAGAAUAAGCACCGGCUAACUACGUGCCAGCAGCCGCGGUAAUACGUAGGGUGCAAGCGUUAAUCGGAAUUACUGGGCGUAAAGCGUGCGCAGGCGGUUUGCUAAGACCGAUGUGAAAUCCCCGGGCUCAACCUGGGAACUGCAUUGAUGACUGGCAGGCUAGAGUAUGGCAGAGGGGGGUAGAAUUCCACGUGUAGCAGUGAAAUGCGUAGAGAUGUGGAGGAAUACCGAUGGCGAAGGCAGCCCCCUGGGCCAAUACUGACGCUCAUGCACGAAAGCGUGGGGAGCAAACAGGAUUAGAUACCCUGGUAGUCCACGCCCUAAACGAUGUCAACUAGUUGUUGGGGAUUCAUUUCCUUAGUAACGUAGCUAACGCGUGAAGUUGACCGCCUGGGGAGUACGGUCGCAAGAUUAAAACUCAAAGGAAUUGACGGC